AAUGGCUCAUUAAAUCAGUUAUCGUUUAUUUGAUAGUACCUACUUACUUGGAUAACCGUGGUAAUUCUAGAGCUAAUACAUGCUAAAAACCUCGACUUCGGAAGGGGUGUAUUUAUUAGAUAAAAAACCAAUGCCCUCCGGGGCUCCCUGGUGAUUCAUAAUAACUAAACGAAUCGCAUGGCCUUGCGCCGGCGAUGGUUCAUUCAAAUUUCUGCCCUAUCAACUUUCGAUGGUAGGAUAGUGGCCUACCAUGGUGGCAACGGGUAACGGGGAAUUAGGGUUCUAUUCCGGAGAGGGAGCCUGAGAAACGGCUACCACAUCCAAGGAAGGCAGCAGGCGCGCAAAUUACCCAAUCCCGACACGGGGAGGUAGUGACAAUAAAUACUGAUGUGGAGCUCUUUAGGGUUUCACAAUUGGAAUGAGAAAAAUCUAAACCACUUAAACGAGGAACAAUUGGAGGGCAAGUCUGGUGCCAGCAGCCGCGGUAAUUCCAGCUCCAAUAGCGUAUAUUAAAGUUGUUGCAGUUAAAAAGCUCGUAGNUGAACCUUGGGCCUGGCCGGCCGGUCCGCCUCACCGCGUGCACUGGUUCGGCCGGGCCUUUCCUCCUGGGGAACCGCAUGYCCUUCACUGGGUGUGCCGGGGAAUCAGGACUUUUACUUUGAAAAAAUUAGAGUGUUCAAAGCAGGCAUUUGCUCRAAUACAUUUAGCAUGGAAUAAUAGAAUA
rnacentral:rRNA from 1 species